rnacentral:rRNA from 1 species
GUCCUGGCCCUAAACGAUGUCGACUAGAUCGUGGUGGCUCUGACGCCAUCACGGUCGAAGCAAAAGUGCUAAGUCGACCGCCUGGGAAGUACGGUCGCAAGGCUAAAACUCAAAGGAAUUGACGGGGGGCUCACACAAGCGGUGGAGCAUGUGGUUCAAUUCGAAGCAACGCGCAGAACCUUACCUGGGCUUGACAUGCCAGGAUUAUCCCCAUGAAAGUGGGGUAGGCCCUUCGGGGUACAACUGGUACAGGUGCUGCAUGGCUGUCGU